AGAGUUUGAUCAUGGCUCAGGAUAAACGCUGGCGGCGUGCCUAAUACAUGCAAGUCGAUCGCUGGAGCUCAAGCUUGCUUGAGUGAAGGAGAGGCGAACGGGUGAGUAAUACAUAAGCAACCUGCCCACGAAGACUGGGAUAAUCUCUGGAAACGGGGACUAAUACCGGAUAGGUGACAAGAUCGCAUGAUCAUGUCAUUAAAGAUUCAAAGCACUGGUGGAUGGGCUUAUGGCGCAUUAGCUGGUUGGUGAGGUAACGGCCCACCAAGGCGAUGAUGCGUAGCCGGCCUGAGAGGGUGAACGGCCACAUUGGGACUGAGACACGGCCCAGACUCCUACGGGAGGCAGCAGUAGGGAAUUUUCGGCAAUGGGCGCAAGCCUGACCGAGCAACGCCGCGUGAGUGAAGACGGCCUUCGGGUUGUAAAGCUCUGUUGCAAGGGAAGAACACAUCUGAGAGAAUCAGGUGCUGACGGUACCUUACCAGAAAGCCACGGCUAACUACGUGCCAGCAGCCGCGGUAAUACGUAGGUGGCGAGCGUUAUCCGGAAUUAUUGGGCGUAAAGGGUGCGUAGGCGGCUGGUUAAGUUUGUGGUCAAAUCGUUGGGCUCAACCCAAUCCUGCCACAGAUACUGAUCAGCUAGAGUACUGGAGAGGGAAGUGGAAUUCCAUGUGUAGCGGUAAAAUGCGUAGAUAUAUGGAGGAACACCGGAGGCGAAGGCGGCUUCCUAGACAGAGACUGACGCUCAGGCACGAAAGCGUGGGGAGCAAAUAGGAUUAGAUACCCUAGUAGUCCACGCCGUAAACGAUGAAUGCUAAGUAUUGGGGCGACUCAGUGCUGCAGUUAACGCAAUAAGCAUUCCGCCUGUGGAGUAUGCACGCAAGUGUGAAACUUAAAGGAAUUGACGG
rnacentral:rRNA from 1 species